rnacentral:lncRNA from 1 species
UGUAUUCUGCUAUGUCUACUGGGAGAAUACACUAGUGGGGAUAGUUCUGUGUAUACAGUGAUUAAGCACAUAGGUUCUGGAGCCAGUCUGUUUCUUUCAAAAUCACCUCAUUGCUUUUGAAGAAUCAGGGAAACCCCCAUGAGACUACAGGUGUGAAGCAAGAUAGAAGCAUCAGUGCAAAAGAGUACUGCAUUUCCAAAUAAAGCCACUCACAAUCUUUAAUCAGGCUGUAAAUUUUAAGAAAUCUGGACCAAGACAGUUUGCUCCAAGAGUAUCCCACAAAUGCAGAUCUUCAGAGUGAGAUUUUAUUAUUGGAUUGCUCACCUGUCUGUUGAUUCUCUUACUGAGAUACCUUGGAACAUGGUUUGAAUAAUAUUGCUCUAACUUCUUUCAUGUCAGGAAGCUCUGAGUUGCCAUAGACUUGCGGAAAUGCCUGCUACAUACAUGCGUGUUGAACAAUGAACUUCAUAACUGACAUAUUUAUCAGAGAAUCAGGAUGAGAGAAGAUACUUCCUUUUCUUACUUAAUAAGAAUAGACCUUGGAGGUCUGGACCUGGACAUGAACGUACACUUUUCUAAAGAAGAUAUACACAUGGCCAACAAGCAUGUGAAAAAAAGCUCAAUAUCACUGAUCAUUAGAGAAAUGCAAAUGAAAAUCACAAUGAGAGACCAUCUCACACCAGUCAGAAUGGCUAUUAUUAAAAACUCAAAAAAUAACAGAUGCUGGCGAGGUUGCAGAGAAAAGGGAACACUUAUACACUGUUGGUGGGAGUGUAAAUUAGUUCAACUAUUGUGUAAAGCAAUAUGUCAAUUCCUCAAAGAGCUAAAAAAGAACUACCAUUGGACUCAGCAAUCCCAUUACUGGGUAUAUACUCAGAGGAAUAUAAGUCACUCUACUAUAAACACACACGCAUGCAAAUUUUCAUUGUAGCACUAUUUACAAUAGCAAAGACAUGGAAUCAACCUAAAUGCUCAUCAAUGACAGAUCGGAUAAAGAAAAUAUGCAUCUUCAACCUUUCUGGACUACAGCACCUGCCAACUGACCCCCACAUCAUGGCUCCAACGCUGGCUUCAUCACAUAUCUUCUCUCUCAGUCCCUUUGGCUCUCAGGGUGCAAUAGCUUAACAAAAUUGCUGAUCUAGGUGCCUCAGCAUUGUUUCUUUGUCAUAGUCUCUGUAUUAUCUUAUUUUGAGCCAUUCUUUUCCUGCAAAGAUCCUAACUGAAUGAGAUAACUACUUCAUAAGCUAUUUGUAAGGUUUAAAUAAAUUAAUGCAUAUUUAAUACAUGAA